CAACACCAACUGCUUUGGGGUGAGAGAGACAAGGGACUCAGGAUGAAUUCUGGGUUUUUAUGACUUUUGACUCUAAAUUCAAUACUUCUGAGGUGCUGACAAACUAUUGUUCAGAAGACAAUGAAACUCUUUACCUAAAGUGAUCAGCAUAAUGUCCUCUACUGAGAUAAAGAACAAAUUUCCAACUUGCCUCUGGCAGGACAGGAUCUAUCUAAGCGGAAAAAGAAGUUAUUCAGCAGCAAGUGUCUCUUGAAGAAAUUGGCUUUAUAACCCACAAGGAGUUCUGCAGGAGUCAUCACCAAUAUUUUCAAGAGUGAUCAACACCAAGAUAUCAAGAACCAAAACUGAGGCAUGGAAUGCGCUGCUCAUUCGAGUCAUGGGGUGGUUGUCUAUCAUGAUUUCUCUUGUUUACACCAUUAAUCAAUAAACAAAUGUAGCCGAUCCUUAAUAUUUGAUAUCACUGGGGCCAUUUUCACACACACACAGAAUAACUGUCACUUUGUGUUAGAGAAUUUCAACAACUGAU